CAUUCCAAAUUUCCAAUUCGCGGCGGCGACUAGACGACUGCACCCACUGUAGUCUCGGCAAUCAGCCGGCUUCAUCCUCCACAGGAGGACAGGAUGAUGUGAUGGUGGUGGAAUGGACCUGGAGCUGAUUCGUUACGGUUAGCAGCCGCCUCGCCCGGCCGGGUCGGUCGCCCCGCGUUGUUUUCGUCUCGCAAUCGCCAUUGAUUUCCAAUCCACACCAGAGGAGGAGAGGAGGAGCAGUCACUCCGGGCGCUGGCUGCUCGAUUCGCAGCGGCAGGGAGAGCGAGCAUCCGUCUCCUCCGCCUAGCCCAGCCCAGUGCGCGGCCACCGGUGGCCAUGGCGCCCCUCCCCCUCGUCCUCCUCUGCCUCGUCCUCCCCGUCGCGCCUCUCGCCGCCGCGCAGCCGAUGCGCUCUUUCUCCGCCAGCGACGGGCCCUGGCGCCCCACCGAGAGCAACCGCACCCUCGUCUCGCCGGGAGGGGACUUCGCCGCCGGGUUCUUGCCGGCAGCCUCCGCCGGUCCGGGCACCUCCUACCGCUUCGCCGUCUGGGUCGUCGGCGCGAGCUCCGCCGACAGGACCGUCAUCUGGUACGCCCACAGAUCCAAGAACAACUCCGCCUACGUGGCCGACGGCGCCUCCGCGCUCGCCUUCGACGCGGCGGGCCGGCUGUCCUGGUCCGACGCCGGGAAAGGCACCGUCUGGUCGCCCGCCCCCAAUUCCUCCGCGAACGCGGCGGCGCUGCUGCUCAACGACACGGGGAGCCUGGUCUACGGCGCGGCCUGGUCGAGCUUCGCCGAGCCCACCCACACGCUCAUGCCGGGGCAGGCCAUCCAGGGAGGCAACGGCACCACGACGCUCCGUUCCGCCAACGGCCGCUACGCGCUCGUCAACUCCGCCACGCUACAGCUCGAGGUCGGCGGUGGCCAUCAGUACGCCAACGUCAGCAGCGGCAGCGCCCUGCUCAGCCUCACCGACGACGGCAAGCUCAUCCUCAGCGGCGGGACCCCCCCGCAGCUCAUCGCCUCCGACCAGGGCGCCACCAAGCGGGUGCGGCGGCUCACGCUCGACGACGACGGCAACCUGCGCCUCUACUCCCUGGUGCCCAGGACCCGGCGGUGGAGCGUGGUGUGGCAGCUCGUGCAGGAGCUCUGCACCAUCCGGGGCACCUGCGACGCCGGCAGGAUCUGCGUCCCCGUCGGCGCCGACGGCGUCAGCUGCGUCUGCCCGCCGGGGUACAGCAACGCCACCCUGGCCGGCCCCUGCGCGCCCAAGAAAAAGUACAGCGGCAGGGGCGGCGACGACAAGUUCGUCCGGAUGGACUUCGUCGCCUUCUCCGGCGGCGCGGCCAGCACGCUGGCGGACCCCGGCCCCCUGAUGACCAAGCUGCCGCCGCAGAACCUCGCCGACUGCGAGAGGGCGUGCCGGCAGAACGCGAGCUGCGUGGCGUUCGGGUACAAGUUCGGCGGCGACCGGACGUGCCUCCAGUACACGGCGCUGGAGGACGGGUACUGGUCGCCGGCGACGGAGAUGUCGACGUACCUGCGGGUGGCGUCGUCGGCCAACGACAGCAACCCGUUCACGGGGAUGACGGACAUGAUCGAGACGGUGUGCCCCGUGCGGCUGUCGCUGCCGGUGCCGCCGAAGCGGGCGCGGACGACGAUCCGGCACGUGGCCACCAUCGCGGCGCUGUUCGCGGCGGAGCUGCUGGCCGGGGUGGCGUCGUUCUGGGCGUUCCUGCGCAAGUACUCGCAGUACCGGGAGAUGGCGCGCACGCUGGGGCUGGAGUACCUGCCCGCCGGCGGGCCGCGGCGGUUCUCGUACGCGGAGCUCAAGGCGGCGACGAGGGACUUCUCCGACGUGGUGGGGCGCGGCGCGUACGGGACGGUGUUCCGCGGCGAGCUCCCCGACCGGCGCGCCGUGGCGGUGAAGCAGCUGCACGGCGUGGGCGGCGGCGAGGCAGAGUUCUGGGCGGAGGUGACCAUCAUCGCCCGGAUGCACCACCUCAACCUGGUGCGCAUGUGGGGGUUCUGCGCCGACCGGGACCAGCGGAUGCUCGUGUACGAGUACGUGCCCAACGGGUCGCUGGACAGGUACCUGUUCGUGUCCGGUGGCGGUGGCGGCAGUGGCGGCGGUGGCGCCGAUGACGGGUCCUCGUCGCCGCCGUCGUCGUCGGAGCACCGCCAGCAGCCAUUGCUUGACCUCCACACCCGGUACCGCAUCGCGCUGGGCGUGGCCCGGGCGAUCGCGUACCUGCACGAGGAGUGCCUGGAGUGGGUGCUGCACUGCGACAUCAAGCCGGAGAACAUCCUGCUGGAGGACGACUUCUGCCCCAAGGUGUCCGACUUCGGGUUGUCCAAGCUGACGAGCAAGCGGGACAAGGUGACCAUGUCGCGCAUCCGGGGCACGCGCGGGUACAUGGCGCCCGAGUGGGUGAUCCACCGGGAGCCCAUCACGGCCAAGGCCGACGUGUACAGCUUCGGGAUGGUGCUGCUGGAGCUGGUGUCCGGGCGCCGGAACUACGGGUUCCGGCAGGAGUCGGUGGGCAGCGAGGACUGGUACUUCCCCAAGUGGGCGUACGAGAAGGUGUACGUGGAGCGGCGCAUCGAGGACAUCCUCGACCCGCGCAUCGCCGCCUCCUGCGCCUACGACGACGCCGCCAGCGUCGCCACCGUCGAGCGCAUGGUCAAGACGGCCAUGUGGUGCCUGCAGGACCGCGCCGAGAUGCGCCCCUCCAUGGGGAAGGUGGCCAAGAUGCUCGAGGGGUCCGUCGAGAUCACGGAGCCCGUCAAGCCAACAAUCUUCUGCGUACAGGACGACUAGGCAAUGUGAAUUCCCGUGCCGUUUGUACAAAUUACUGCUGCUAGUUACCACUGCAGGUCAGGAUCGAGUUCCCCUGACUGGAAGAGAUGAGAAGCUCAUCUUUUGUGCCUGGUCUUUUUUUGAGACAGAGCAAGAUCAAAACAGAGUUACUGUAUGGAGGGCGAUAUGGUAAAUUACAAUUUGGACUGAGUGGGGUGAAGCGACUCUAGAAUGACGUGCGGUGGGAUGGUUGUUGAUCGAUCUUGUGGUCUGUGGGGUCAUGCGCUGCACAGGAAAGUAUAGGAUAAAAUCUGGUGGGAAGGAUGAUAUGUCGAUUGGUUUGCCUGAGGAGCCACAUUUUCUUUCAACGGCCAUGUAAAUGUCCUGUAUUGAAGGAGGAGGAACGCAUGGCCAACAAGGUGUCGCCACAAGAGCAUUAUGAAGCUUUUGUUCCUGAUUGUAGAUUGUUUCAGUCAUGUCAACGAUAGAAACUUGUUCACUAUUAUCUGCAGCCUUUUGCACGGAGUACAAGACAUAAUUAAUUUAUAAUUAUGGAGGCAUUUAUACCACUGUAAAAGUUUCUUACCAUGGCGACGCCUUUGUUCCGUUGAAUAUGCGAGGCUGCUUUGUUCCAGCAGUUGUAAGCAAAUGUCUGCGUGAGAAAGGAAACAGAGGCAGUAAGCCGGCGGCAUGCACCGUUUGUUUAUUUAGUUUUCCUCUCCUGGGAAUGCGGGAUUCAGUUUUGGAGUACAUGGUAUUGGUAUAACACUAUUUCAAAUUUUGUA